UUUUUUUUUUUUUUUUUUUUUUUUUUCUGCCUUUUAGGACCACACCCGCAGCAUAUGGAGGUUCCCAGGCUAGGAGUCGAAUAGGAGCUACAGCUGCCAGCCUAUGCCACAGCCACAGCAAUGCCAGAUCCAAGCCAAGUCUGCAACCUACACCACAGCUCACAGCAACACUGGAUCCUCAACCCACUGUGCAAGGCCAGGGAUCAAACCCGCAACCUCACAGUUCCUAGUCAGAUUUGUUUCCACUGCACCAUGACAGGAAAUCCCAGCACUUUUUGCAAACUUUAACUCAUUCAGAGCUCUAGCCUCCCCACAUUCUUAAUGACACCAGACUUUUCUGUAUUAACCAUCAGUUAUUCACCAUUAGUAAAUGUGGGUAUCCUUGAUAUGUUUUCUUUUGAAGUUUAUUAGAAAUUACUUAGGUGGAAAUUACAGUAUUUUCUCUAGUUGCCUCAUAAUUUUUCUACCAUCUGUGGAAAUUUCUUCAUACUUUUAAUAACUUUUUCUUUUUAAUGGCUGCAUCCAUGGCAUUCCCAGGCCAGGAACUGAAUCUGAGCCACAGGUGCAACCUACUCCACAGCUGCAGCCAACACCAGAUCCUUUAAACCACUGUGCCAGGCUAGGGAUUGAACUCACACCUGCACAGCAACCUCAGCCACUGCAGUCGGAUUCUUAAUCCACUACACCACAGCAUAACUCCAAAAUGUUUCAUUUUUAAAUGCCUUCUAUCAAUAUUGAUUGAUAAUACCAUCUGUGGUCAUUACCAAUCUUUUUUUAAAUUUUUUUUCUUUUUAAGGCCGCACCUAUGGCAUAUGGAAGUUUCCAGUCUAGGGGACCAAUCAGAGCUACAGCUGCCAGCCUAUGCCACAGCCACAGCAAUGCCAAACCCCCAAACCACAUCUGCAACCUACACAGCAGCCUGCAGCAACACCGGAUCCUUCACCACUUAGCAAGGCCAGGAAUGGAACCUAUAUCCUUAUGGAUACUAGUCAGGUUCUUAACCUGAUGAGCCACAAUAGGAACUCCUAUCAAUCUUUUUUCUGAAUUUUCUGAAACCCACUUUUUUGUGAAUUCCUCUAAUAACAUAAAAUCCAAUGUGACACAGUCACUAAUUUUUGAUUCCCAUUAUUUCCAUUUUCAUCUAGGAGACAAAGAAUAGUGCUUUGGAAAAAGCAUGAGGAGCUUGGAAGUCUGACAGAUAUUUGUCACUUAGCAGUUUUGUGUUACAAACUUCUCUGUGCCACAAUUUUGGCAUCAACGAAAUAACAAAUAGUAUUUACUGAGCACCUAUUUUAUAUCAAGUACAUUACAGACUCUACAUAAGUAGAAAGUACUAUAUCAUUUAUAUUGAGGAAAACUAGGGCUUCAUAUAAGCAACUUGCUUCAAAAGUUACAGAGCUCGAGUGCUAGAGCGAGAAUUUAAAUCCAGAUCUGAUUCCAAACCCAUGUUCACAAAGGAGAGACCAUAAAAUGGGCCCACAUGCCCAAAACAAAUGUUCAGUAAUGAUUAACCCCAUUUGUCCCUCUCUGCUCUUCCUUGCUGGUCAGAAUCAAUUUCAUACUAGCAAUUCUCACCAACAUUCAGAAGAUUAACCUCUCAGCAAAUAAUUUAUCAAAAAGCUCUAAUAAGCUUUAUUAUUAAUGUAUUUUUAAUUAAUCUACUUAGUAAAAAGUAAAAACUCUUAUCACAUUAUGCCGAACAUAAUUUUCAGGGAUUUUUGUGUUAAAGGAGCCUUACAUGCAAUCAUAAAAGCCCAGGGUUAGAGACAUUAAAAGUCUAGCAAAAAAUAAAAAAAUAAAAACAAAGUAGCUGAACUACUUUAUUCAGCAUAAUGUGUUACUCCACCUCAAAAUUCUUAAAACAUACCAUGUAGAGAAAAAGCUUCUUUAAAAAAAGAACUAUCAGAGUUCCCGUUGUCGUGCAGCAGUUAACGAACCUGACUAGGAACCCAUGAUAUGGGUUCAAUUCCUGGCCUCACUCAGUGCGCUAAGGAUCCGCCAUUGCCAUGAGCUGUGGUGUAGGUCACAGGCACAGCUCAGAUCCAGCGUUGUUGUGGCUGUGGUUGAGGCCAGCAGCUGUAGCUCCAAUUCAACCCCUAGCCUGGGACCUCCAUAUGCCACAGGUGUGGCCCUAAAAAGACAAAGGACAAAAAAUAAUAAUAAUAAUAAUAAAUAAAUAAAUAAAUAACCUCCUAAAAUAACCAAAAUAAUGUGACCAGAAUGAUCCUUUCUUAUAUUACUACAAUGAAAUUAACAUCAUCGUUUAGAUUUAUUAUUCUGCAAAUAGGCACGCUUACUUGAACUGAACCCCAAGUAUAGUUUCAGCACAUUGAGGCCUCUAGGUACUGAACUACAACUGUGGUCCUCUUUAAUAAACAAAUACAAUUCUUGAAUAUAUGACACUGACUUAUUACUGUGCAAAAUUUUUAAUGAAACACUAACCAGUAAGAGCUGCCUACUAAAAAUGCACACAAAACAAAAUAAGGGAACAAAGAAUAUGGGUAAGUAACACACCUUGAUGAAUAAACUUAAGAAAUUUCUUUUUUUUUUUUUUUUUUUUGGUUUUUAGAGCUGCCCACAGCAUAUGGGAGUUCCCAGGGUAGGGGUCAAAUCAGAGCUGCAGCUGCUGGCCUACACCACAGCCACACCCACAUGGGAUCCAAGCCACAUUUGCAACCAACAUGACAGCUCACAGCAACACCAGAUCCUUAACACACUGAGCAAGGCCAGGUUUGGUACUGCUGAACCACAACAGGAACUCCUAAGUGAUUUCUAUUUUUAAAAACCCAAAUAGUCAGGCAUUCCCGCUAUGCUGCAUUAGGAUCAGUGGCAUCUCUGCAACACCAGAACACAGGUUCUACCCCUAGCUCAACACAGUGGGUUAAAGAAACCAGCGUUUCUGCAGCUGCCUCAUAGGUCCACAUCUGAUCCCUGGCCCAAGAACUCCAAGUGCUAAGGGGUAGCCCAAAAAAAGGAAGAAAAAAGAAAAUUUUUUUUAAAAAACUAUUCAAAUCACAGCUACUUCCAGUUCUGUUUUUUGUGUAUAAAACACAAUAUUUUAGCAAAAACAGUCCUUGAAUAUAAGCCCUAUAAGAAAACUAAAAUGCCACUGUAAAACGUGAUACAAAAAAUUCACUAAAGAAUCCCCACUGUGACACAGGGGGUUAAGGAUCCAGUGCUGGCUCUGUCAGCGUGGAUUUGAGCCCUGGCUCACAAACUUCCAACUACAGUUGGCGCAGGCAUUAAAAAAAAAAAAAAAAAAAA
rnacentral:lncRNA from 1 species